AAAAAAAAAAAAAAGAGCUAAAAGAACAAAUUUGAUUACGCCAAAUUGAAUCGGAAUUGCUCAUGUUGGAUCACAGAGAUUGACUUUUAACUUGCUUACUAGUGUAAUCACUAGUAAAUUUCAGUUGAAGAGGAUAUGUAGGCCACAUGCCAUAUUCUAUGCAUUAAUUUCUAUGAGAUUAACAUAGGCAAAUUAGGCUC
rnacentral:lncRNA from 1 species